rnacentral:rRNA from 1 species
AGAGUUUGAUCAUGGCUCAGAAGGAACGCUGGCAGCGUGCAUAACACAUGCAAGUCGAACGGUAGUAUUAUCUUCGGAUAAUAUGAGAGUGGCGAACGGGUGAGUAACACGUAAGAAUCUACCUUUAGGACGGGGAUAACUUCUGGAAACGGAUGCUAAUACCCGAUAUGCUGUGGAGUGAAAUGAAUUUCGCCUAAAGAUGAUCUUGCGUCUGAUUAGCUAGAUAGGGUGGUAAUGGCGCCCUAUGGCGACGAUCAGUAGCUGGUCUGAGAGGAUGGACAGCCACAUUGGGACUGAGACACGGCCCAAACUCCUACGGGAGGCAGCAGUGGGGAAUUUUCCGCAAUGGGCGAAAGCCUGACGGAGCGACGCUGCGUGAAGGAUGACGGCCUGAGGGUUGUAAACUUCUUUUCUCGAAGAAGAAUCAAUGACGGUAUUCGAGGAAUAAGCAUCGGCUAACUCUGUGCCAGCAGCCGCGGUAAGACAGAGGAUGCAAGUGUUAUUCGGAUUGAUUGGGCGUAAAGCGUCUGUAGGCGGUUUAGAAAGUCUUUUGUGAAAUACUUCAGCUCAACUGGGGCUCCGCAAAAGAAACUUCUAGACUUGAGGGAAGUAGAGGUACAGGGAAUUUCCGGUGGAGCGGUGAAAUGCGUAGAUAUCGGAAGGAACACCAAUAUGGCGAAGGCACUGUACUGGGCUUUACCUGACGCUAAGAGACGAAAGCUAAAGGAGUGAUUAGGAUUAGAUACCCUAGUAAUUUUAGCCGUAAACGAUGGAAACUCACUGCCGAGCCGGUAUUCGGAGCGGUGGUCAAGCUAACGCGUGAAGUUUCCCGCCUGGGGAUUACGCAUGCAAAUGUGAAACUCAAGGAAUUGACGGGGACCC